rnacentral:lncRNA from 1 species
AUAUAAAAACAAUGUUUGAUCAAUGCUGAGAAGUAAGCAAACUUCAUUUUUUGAUAAUAUUUUACUCCAUACAUACUUGAACUGAAAAACCUAACAUGAGGUAUUGUCAAAAUAACAUCGAUCUUAAUCUGGCGAUAAUAGAGAUCAAAAGCAUAUUAGGCAGACAUGCGCUAACAGAUGCAUGAAACUCAUGGGCUGCUAGGUAGAGGUGGUGGUGGUGGUGGAGAUAGUAAAUGUGGUGAUGAUUGCAGCAGCCCAACACGAGGUGGUGGCACAGAAAAUGAACCCGCCUUCCCAUGCAAAGGAGGAGGAGGAGGAGGACUCCCAACUUUAUCUGGGUAUACCUUCUUCUGCUCCAACAAUCGAUUUGAAACAGCGGCCACAAAAUCCGUAUCAGAAGCAGCUUCUAAGGGUCGUGCCAUCGCCACAUAGCUCUUACCUGUGUGACUGAUCUGCAACACCACACUAUGGAUUAAUAUAACUAAAAGCAAGAAAAGGGCAUUCAUUGCAGUCACUUUGCUAUGGCAUUAUGCUUGAUCUUAUGUAUAUAUUAUAUAGAUGGAGAGGUCAAUUAGUUGACUCAUUGCUCGAGAAAUAUCAGAUAUGUUAACAAACCCAAAUCGCACGUCUUUGAAUAAAUAGGACAAACUAGAAAUUUAAAGAAUUCUCACGCCACCGAUUUCCAAUAUUUGACGGCUUUCGACGACUUCAGUGUAGGAAUUUGAAAACAUAUUGUUUGAAGUAGACGUCAUUAAUUGGCCAUAUCAAAAUUGUGUGGUCUAAUAAUUCAUCGCAUGGUUCUUUCGAUGAACACGAAAGAGAUGGUGCACAAAAAUUCCAAGUCAAGCAAAGAAUUAAAUCGCAUGGACUUGGAUGAUACUGCUUCGAAGAAGAAAUUAAAGAGAUGAAAUUAUAUUUUCAUACGUUUCAAAUACUCAAGUCCAAAUAGUAGGAAGAAGAAGUUGCUGAAGAGUUUACAAUUUAUUAUUAUUUAUAUUUACUUAUACAAAAAUUUAUUCAUAAAUUUCUUUUGAUUUUAAUACUCUUUAUAUAUAAAAAAAAAAUAGAAAACUUCAAAAACAAUAUGUGGAAAUCAAAUAGUAAAUUUUCAUCUAAUUAAUUUGGUUGACUUAUAACUAAGGUUUGACUUAAUAAAUAUUAUUAUUAUUAUACAACUAAGCUCGGUGCUUAUUUGAUUUUUUCUGUUGCAAAUAAGAACUUUUGUGGAGUAAAAGAAAGAGGUUUGAUAUUUUGAUAGAAGAAAUACAAUCCAGAUAUAACAAGACCCUUGCUAUUUUCCCUAGAAAUUUUGGCUAUUGACCAGGAAGUAUAGAAUCAUAAUCCUAAUAGUUGAACUCUGAAUAUGGAACUGGAACCAGCUACUGAAUUACCAUAAUAUAUGAUAAAAGGACUUAAAGCUUAAUUUGCCAAGUCAAUAUAUAUAAAAACUCUUAUAUUGUUCUUACUCAAAUUAACUUUAAAUCAUUUACUUUUAAAAUUAGCUAUUAUUAACUCUAGUUAGUCAUAAUUCCCAUUUUAUUUUUUAUUUUUUUCUUUUUGAACUUCUUCAUAAGAAGAAACAUGAGACAUAAAUUUAGCAAUAUUCUUCUUGGAUUAUAUUCUUCCUGAAUUUGGAGAUACUUGAUUUAUUAGUUUGAAUUUGAUAACAACCAUGGUUAUAACUGGUUUUAAUUUCAGUAAGAAAUCUAAAAGAAAUCUACUGGUGGUGGUGAUGCAACAGGUUUAGGUGGUGCCGGGCGGGGAAUAUUCCAACCAAUGUAGCGGGAGGUCUGUGGAAGAGGCCUUCCUAUGAGAUUUCCAAGUCGAUCUGGGUAAGCCUUUAUUUUCUCAGAUGAUCAAUUUGAAGCAACUGAAACAAAGCCCACAUCGGAGAAGGCUCGGAUGGGUCGGGCCAUUGCAACAAAGCUCUUCCCUACUUGACUAGGUUGCAAUACCAUGGAAUAUUAGCAAAAGUAGAAGCAAGAAAGCAGAAGAAGAAUCCAUUUCUAUUGCAAUAUACUCGAUUAUAAAUUAUUACGUAGAGAUAGAGAUGUUUCACAUCGUAUAUGCUAUCUCUAUUUAAUCCAGGACCCAAGACUUCUAAAUGAAUAAGCGCCUUUCAUUCUUUUGGAAUUUGUCAAAACAAAUGGGACAAACUAAAAAAGGAUUCCAGACCACCAACCUUCUGGACCCGAUUUUUUAUUGACUUUUGCUCACAUAUACAGAUGAUGUCAUUUUCUAGCAUGAAGAAAUUAACCGAACUCCAUUAAUUCUGAUAUAUAAAGUACAUUGCACAUGUAUAUCUCUUCCUGGAAGCAGCAUGACCAGGAUGCAUGGGUGAUACUUAAAAGUCUUAAAUAAAAUUUCCAAGUCACUGAAUUGAAAAUAGAUGUAGCUUAUGACAGCUGUGAAGAAGAAUUAGGGCAUACACUCAAAAGUCAAAUAAACCAGUAAAAAAAGGAAGAUGAAGCUUCCUAUCAAGAGUAAGGUUAUGUUUGGUCCAAGCAAGGAAAAAAACAAUUGUUCAAUAAAAUUAUUUUUUCAAUUUGGUUAUAUGAAAAUUUUCAAAAAAAAAACCAAAUAUAAUUCAAAUUAAUUAAAAACUUAUACAUUUUUAAAUUACUUAAUCUUUAUAUUGAUGAGUUAAAAUAAAUAUAAUAAGUUUGAGUUAGUAAAUAAAAGUAAUUUAUCGACUUCAAUUUUAUUUUUUAUUUUUAUUCAUAUUUUUGCUAUCUAUAUUUUUUUUCUUGCAUUUUCUCUCAAAUUUUUCGGGAAGCAAACAUAGCCUAAGAAUUUAUUCAUGAAAUUUUUUUUAAAUACUUAAUUCGUUUUUACAUCAUUUCAGAGGGUUAACAUAUAAAAGCAAACUAUAUUUUAUAAAAUUCAGUAGUUGAGGUUCAACAUGUAAUAUGGUUUUAUAAUGCUCUUUUUUUCAAUGUAUAUUUUAUGAUAUUAGAGUAGUGGCAUUGGUAACUAAUUAUUAAAAGAUACUUCGCAAGAAAUGAGCCAAAUACUCAACACAAAGUAGUCAACAAUAUUAAUUACUUCAGCAACCUUGAUGUAAGGGAAUCCAGCACAUUACAAGGAUUAUUGAAUUUUUCAAUUUUCAAAAUAUAUUUUUUGGAGAAGAAACAAAUAAUGAUAUUUAAUUAUAAGAUCAAUGAUUAUUUGUAACGAAUUUGUUAUUUAGUAGUAGGAUGGAUUUACUGCUGGUUGUGGGUGAGUAUUGAGAUAUUUAAUUCAACAUUCUAUAUAUAUAUGUCACAGUUGCUACAAAUUUUCUAUAAUAGUAAUAAAGCAGAAAUUUUAUUAUUUUUUUAACUUUUUAUUGAAAGUAAUUCUCUCAAAUUUCAAAUUAUUUCUUUUUUCUUUUUUUUUUUAAUUUAUUACUUAUUUCUUAAAUUUUUUUUAUUGAACAGAAAAUAUCAAAAUAUUUGGCUUUUUUUAAUGCUAUAAAUAACACUUGUGCUUUGUUUAUGUUUUUUUUACAAUUUAAUACUUAAUAAAAAUAAAAUAUUAAAAAAAUAAACAAUUUAAUAUUUAAUACUAUUAAACAUUAUUUAGCUUAAAUUCUAUUUAGAAUUAAGUAAAGAAAAACAAACACGGUCUAAGUCUUUUUAUAUUGACAUUUUAGUUAAACUCAAGUGCAAAAAGUGGCUUAUAGCAUAAUGAGUACUUCUUUGAUUGUGUUAAUCACCAAAAAUGUCAAGGUGGAUUUACUCCUUAUAGAUUGCAUAGAACACUUAAUUUUUCCUUUUAUAAAAAGAAGCAAGUAUAAUCUUAAGAAAUUGCAUCAAUGCAAAAAAACAGAUUGGAACUCUAAAAGACUUGUUGCUUUUAUCUCCUUGAUUGCAAGUUCAUUUACAUAUCUUUAGCCUGUGGACACCUUUAGAGCUAAGGAAAUCCUUGGAUUUAUGUCUUGUUACCGUGUGACCAUGAUAUUUUAUUAAUCGUUGUACACGGUGGAUCACAAUGCGUUAAUUGAGCCAUAUUUUGUAAGUAUGGUUUUUUACUUAAGUUAUAAUCACUUUUAGAUUACACUUGAUUCCUUAAUAAAAAGUAAAAUUUAUCUCCUGUUGGCAUUAUUUUGUGAUAUCCAUUAAAGAACUUAUGAGAAAAUAUAUUAUUUAGCAUUUCAUGUUUAAUACAUAAAUCUUUUAUGCUUAGAGAAGACAAUGGGACAGUGUUUUUUUUUUUUUUUUUUUUUUUUUUUUUUUUUUGUGCCCACCCUACCCCAACCCUAAUGGUAUAAGUUUAAAAUUUAAAUAAAUGGGUUUUGGACGGGUUUGAGAUUUUUUUAAAAACUCAAGACGGAUUCGAGACAGGUUUGAGUAUUGUCUUGUUCUACCCCAUUCCACCCGAUUAUAUAUAAAAUUUAAUUUUUAAAGUAAUUUAAUUUAAUUUUUAUUUUCCUACUUUUAAUAUAUAUAUAUAUAUAAUAACAAAAUACUUUUAUAAUAGGUUUUAAUAUUUUAAUUAUUUAUAAAAUAUAUUUAUUUUAAUGUAAUUAAAAAAAUAUUUAAAUUUAAAAAAAAAAAAGUUAAAGAGGACAAGGCAUGUCGGGUAUGGGAAUUUCUCAUACCCACCCCACUCUAUUUAAUUUUUUUUAAUGGGACGGGGAUGGGAAAUAUUUUAACCCAUUCCAAAUCCGUCUCGUUGUCAUCUCUAUUUAUGCUCAUUUGAAUUUAAAGUAAAAUGGAAAAAAAAUAAAAAGAAAAUAUAAGUAAAUAAAAAUUCAAGAGAAAAAAAAAUACAUCUAAACUUCUUGAAUCCUUUUUAUGUUUUUUUUUAAUAAUUUUAUUAUGUUUAUUUUCCCUUCUUAAUUUUCGAGUUAAGCCAAAUCGAAUAAUUUGAAUUUUUACACAAUUCCUUUUUAUAAUUUUUGCUAUGAUCCAAUCGGAGGAGUCUUAGAGAUCCAAAUUUCUCAUGAUUCAAUAACAACAAUGGGUCUCCCAUCUUCAACAACACUAGAAAGGCAACCAACCUUGAUCCUUUGUAGUAGUGGUCACCAUCCUAGAUUUGCUCAUUGACAAUAGCCGGUUCUCGAACGUAGGGACCACAAAUCAUGUGACCAAUGAUUUGAGCAAUCUGAAUCUUAGGUCUGAGUAUCAAGACACAAACAACGUUUACAUGGGUAAUGGUGUAGGUUUGGCAAAAUGGUAGGAAGAUGAAGCUGCAAAGAGUUUAUGUUUAAUUAUAAUUAUUUAUAUUUGAUUAUACAAGAAUAUAUUCAUCAAACAAAUUUUCUUUUGAUUUUUAUACACUUUAUAUAUAAUUUUAAAGGAUUUAUGCUGAUAAAAUAUGAGAUUAAUUCAAUGGUUCAACUGAUCCAAACAAAGCAAAUUUUGGUGCAAUUAGUGCAAUUGAAAAUUUCUUAAGCAAUAAAUGGAAAUCAAAUUAAUAGUAAAUUUCAUCAUCUAAUUGAUUUGGUUGACCUGCAACUAAGGUUUGAUUUAAUGAAUAUAUAUUAUUAUUGUACAAAUAAGCUCUGUGCUUAUUUGAUUUUUCUGAUGCAAAAAGAACUUUUGUAGAGAAAAAGAAAAUUGAGUGAUAGUUUGAUAGAAGAACAGUCCAUAUGUUAUAGGACACUUGCUAUUUACCCUUGAAAUUUAUAUAUAUAUGCAUUCCCCCAUUGAAUGUUCGUUUCUUUGAUGAUCAUCUAAGUAGUUGAUAUCAGUCAAAUAUUUUAUAAAAACACUUGUAUUGUUCUUGCUCAAAUUAACUUUAAAUUAUUUACUUUAAAAUGAAUUAUUAUUAGUGUUAAGUAGCCAUAAUUCUUUUUUUUUCUUUUUCUUUUUUCUUUUUUAUCUUCUUCAUAAAAAUUAAGAAACAUGGCUCAUAAACUCUCAAAACUCAAUUUUGUUAAUUUUUAAUAUUCUUCUUGGAUUAUCUUUUUCUAAGAUUUAGAGAUAUUUGAUUUAUUAUUUGUAUUUGAUGAUGCCAAGGGUUUUUAUCUUUUUUAAUAAUUUGAUUUUAAUUUCAAUAGGAAUCCUUUAUCUAGAAAUGUAGGUUUUUUAAAAUGUGUUUGAGAGUGUUUUUAUUUAAAAUGUUUUUAGUUGAAAUGAUUUUAUAGAAGUGUUUUUUACAGAAUCACCUAUCAAGUGCUUCUUCAAAAAGCACUAUAAGUAAUUUUUUUAACUUUUUAAUCACAAUAGGCUAGAGUUCUUCUCUCGUUGUGGUUGUUGCAUUGCCUCUAAUGUAUUCCUCCUUAUACAUAUUGGGUCUCUUAAGAUGAAAAGCAAUAAAGAUACAACCUAUUCGCAAACUCCCUAUACAGACUUCCCUCCAUGGUGGAAUAUCAUGAGGCUUGACCAAGGAGUUUAUGUGAUUCCCUUUUGUCAUGCAUGGGUGACACUUCACUAUUUGCAUAAAAAAUCAUUAGGUCAUCUCUACAUAUGUUGAAUCUUUUGUGGUAUUUCAUGUUGAUAGAUCAAUGUUCUUCAAUGGUGCUAAGAAUUGCUAGGUUUGACAAUAUAUUAAUGGGUACAUUGUUUUCCCUCAUUAUUUGCUCAAUUUGGAAGUUAUCAAACCACUAGCUUCCAAUUUGGCUUAGGUUAGGUAUGCUUCCAUCCAUUCAUCUUUGGUUUCAUAUUGGGUUAAAACUUGGCAAACCAUGAAUUUAUAAUCAGGAUAGACUUGAAACACUUACGAGCUCUAAGUAGGUGCAUGGUUUCUAACUUAUAAAGAAGGGCCUUAUAUUUAGCUUCAUUAUUGGAUGCUUUGAAACCUCAUGCAAUACUUUUUUCAAUGAUUCCAUAAAUGAAUCCAAUGUUUGCACCCUUCUAACUAGAGGUUUUAUCCGCAUAUAGGAUUAUAUGGAGGUUGUAUACAAUAGAUAGCAAGUCAUAGGCCCAAGUACUUAGUGUCUCAUUUUUAUUUACAUGGGGAUGAAUAGGAGUGUAGUUGACUCAAUGUAGUGGGAUAUUGAGUCAACUUCAAAAUUGGAUUCUAAAGGGGUCAAGACUGUCCUAUGGGUUCUAAUGGUCCUCAUUUGAGCUCAUAUAUCUUGUUGGGACUGUUUAUGAAGGUUGGAUUGACUCUUGGUUCAUUUAUGUACAUAAGGAUGUUUUGGUAAUUUCGCAAGGUUGCAUAAGAGUUAGUGAACGACAUUUUUAGAUUGGCCUAAUUGAUUAAUUAGACAACCUUAUUGGGUUAAUUAAUCAAUUAUAAUCCUUUUUGAGCUAGAUCAAGUGACCUAAGCCUAUGGUGGGCUCAAGUCACUUAAGCCUAGUAAGAAUUUUAUAAAUAGCCCCUUAAGGGUUAAGGUUUCAAGUUUUUUCUUCUGUUCAUUCUUUGAAUUUCAAAUAAGGAUUCCUAGUCUCUACCCUCCAAACUUUCACCAUUUGAAUGCCAAGCUUCAAGGUUGAGUCAUCCGGUGGAAGGACGUGGGUCUACGAGACUUCCAACGACUUCGUUUUGUUCUUCACCAAAAGAAAACAGUUUGGGAAUUCCAUAUCAAUUGUAAGCACACUAAACUUUUUUUCAAAAUCCUAGAAAAAAAUUUUGAUGCAUGUAUUCCAAUAUGCAUAGGAUUUAGAAAAGCCUAGGGAGUUUUACAUGUAUCUAACCUAAUCCUAAGACAAGAAACGGAACAAUCCAAAAUUCUCUUUAAGAUGUUGGAAUGCAAUUAACUCUCUACGGUAGAAUGUUAAAUCAACUUCAAAAUUAGAUUUUGAAUGAGCUUCUAUAUCUUUUAUGGUUCCCAAUAGUUCCUACUAGAGCUCACACUCCUUGAUGGCAUAUUGAGGGAUAUUUGGGUUUCAAUUCAUAUGUGUGCAUCAGAGUAUUUCAAUAAAAAUGUAAGGUUGCACAAGGGCUUAUAAAUUGUCUUUCUACAAUAGGUUAAUUAAUUAAUUGUAGCCUAAUAGGACUAAUUAAUUAAUUACAACCCAGUGAGUUAAAAUAAGCAAUGCAAGCCCGAGAUAGGCUCAAAUCACUGAAACUUACAAGGAGUCUAUAUAAACACUCUUAAGAUUUAGAGUUAGAUAGUCUAGCUUAUUACUGUCUUCUAAAGAGAACCCUAGCCCUUAUCCCUCUAGAGAAAAGUUCUCCCUUCUCCAUUGCUAAGAUCCAAGGAAGAACCAUCAAUUGAAAGAUCUUUAUGUCUUUGAGAUAGUUCUUCAUUGAUUGGAAUAGACGUGGAAACAUCCAAAUCUUAGCUAUGUGAUCUUUAUUGUUUUUUAUAACCUUUAAUAAAGUUUUAAGGGCCUAUCUAUUAAUUUAUACUGCACUUAGGAUCUUAGUUGCAUGCACCCUUAAGAGAUCCAAGGCUUGGAUUAGAUUUAUCCAAGAAUCCAACCAGUAGGCUUUUCCUAUUGUUUUGCAGCUUUUUGCCACAUACUUCCAAAGGUGGUUGGAGGUAUCUAUUUAGCGACAAUUGUUAGAUAAUGACUACUUUAGAGGUCAUCAUCGUAUGUCAAGGCCCUCAUUUUUGGGUUGGGUGAUUUUUUGGACCUUCAAUCCUUGUACCAUCAUUUUGUAUCAUCAACUAGAGCUGGCUAGUUCUCUUUUUCUAGCCUCUGAAUCAAGCUCUUUCACUCCUAAAAUCCUCCAUUCCUUCUUUUUGACCAAUUCCUAAUAUAAUCAGACUAAAUCUCAUGUUCAUGGUAUUGCUCACCCUAUGAUUACUCAAUCCAAGAAAUUGUUAUUUAAGCCUAAGGUCUACUUGACUAUUAAUUUUACCAUUGUGGAGCCUAGCACUAUGCAAGAAGCUUUACAAAUUCAUCAUUAGAUGGAACCUAUGGAAUAAGGGUAUACUGCCUUAAUUAAAAAUAAGAUCUAAUCUCCAAUUCAAAAGUUAAUUGAUAGAAGAAUAGUUUGUUGCAAAUGGGUAUUCAAAAUCAAAAGGAAUCCUAAUGAGACUAUACAACAGUACAAGUCACAAUUGAUGGCUAAAAGAUAUUAGUAAUCUCCUGGUUUUAAUUUCAUUGAGACCUUCGGUCCAAUGGUUAAACUGACAACAAUUCAUGUGGUGCUAAUAACUUUAGAUAGAAAUUGGGAGAUCAAACAAUUGGAUAUAAAUAAUGCACUCUUGAAUGGGAUCCCCCAAGAACUGUAUUUUUGGAUCAAUCUCUUAGGUUUGAACAACAUGAUCAAUACGAACUUCUAGUACACAAGCUACAUAGUACUAUAUGGCUUGAAACAAGUCUCACAAGUUUGGUUUGACAAUCUUAGAUCAUCACUGUAGAACUAAAUCUUAUCUCCUCGAGUUUUCUUUUCAUUCUAUUAUUGUCCUCUUGAAUAAAAACUGCUCUCUUAAGGAUCUUGGAUCCCUUAACUACUUAGAAAUUAAGGUAAAGAAAACAGAAAUUGGAAGUUUACUUCUUUCUCGAGAAAAAAAUAUAACAGAACUCCUACAUAAAGCUCAUAUGGACAUAGAGCAUUUUCCACUUCAAUGAUGCGAACUCUACAGAUUGCUUAUGAUGAUGACUCUAUGAAGAAUCCAACACUACUUAUAGAAGCCAAGAGGAUGCAUGUAGUAUGUAACUAUUACCAAACGCGAGAUUGCCUAAUGUAAACAAGGUAUCUUAAUAUAUGCAACACCCUUCAUAUUGUCAUUGGAAGUCUGUAAAGAGCAUCCUAGGUAUCUGAAAGCGACUAUUGAUUUUGGAAUUCAUUGGCAUCAGAUCCACAUAAUAGAAAAUCUAAUCUGGAUUUUGUAUCUUUCUUAGCAACAAUCCUAUCACCUGGAGCUCAAAGAAGGAAACUACAAUCUCAAGAUCAAGCACUAAGGCUGGAUAUAGAUGUCUAGCUAAUUCUACAGAAAAAAUAGUUUGGCUUCAAUCCUUUAUCAAAGAACUUAGCAUUCUACAAACCAAAGUUCCAAUUCUUUAGUGUGACAAUCUAAUUGUUGUUUCUUUAAGUGCUAAUUUUGUCUAACAUUUAGAACCCAAUGUAUGGAACUUGACUUAUAUUUUGUUCAAGAAAUUAAGAUCCUUGAGAAUUUCUUUUAUCAUAUUGUUGAUAUCUUCACCAAACCACGGUCUACUGCCUAUGUGGUGUCACCCACCAACCACACUCAACUUGAGGGGGCUAUUGGAGAUGAUGCAAGAAGAUAGAAAAGAUGAAACUGAAACUCUGCCCUCUUUGUUAGAGAAGCAAGAGAGAGAAAUUGAAUAUAUAUAUAUAUAUAUGUAUUGUUCAAACAACUCUAUUACAACAGAUGGAGACAGACUGUAAUACCAGCUAGUACAACUAAAAUACAGUUGGUAAAAUAACAAACGAAUAACAAUAAAGCUAACAAAUAACAAGUGGGCUUCAUCUCGUGAGAUCAAUAACUAACUCCUCUUUUCUUGGCUUAUCAUCCCCCCUCAAGUGAAAGGGUCUUAGAGCUAUACAAAGCUGAGAUUUGAGGGACAAGAACCUUGAACUUGUGAGAUGCUUAGUCAAUAAAUCUGUUGGCUGCUCUUUAGUGGGAACAAAGUGCAGUUGUAUCUUUCCUCUCAUGACUUGAUCUCAUAUAAAAUGAAGGUCUAUUUCUAUGUGUUUAGUUCUAGCAUGAAACACAAGGUUCUUUGCCAUAUGGUAAGCACUGAUAUUAUCAUACCAAAGUAGAGAUAUUGCAGAUAUUGGCACACAUAGCUAUUGCAGUAAGACUUGUAUCCAAACAAUCUCAAUCGUAGCGAAAACAAGGCCACGAUACUCAGACUCUACACUAUUGCAAGACACUACUUUUUGUUUGGUAGAGGACCAAGAGACUAAGUUACCUCCUAGAUAAACGAGAUAUCCACUUGAGUUGCCCCUAUCAUCAAGGUGAACACCCCAAUCUGCAUCUGUGAAUCCCUAUAUUGUCAAGUUACUUGAAGGACUUAACAGGAGCCCAUCUUGCAUUGUUCCUCUUAGAUACUGAAGUAUUCGUUUGACUGAGAGCCAGUGAGUUGUGGUUGGGUGUUACAUAAAUUGUCAUGCCUUAUUGACAACAAAGGCUAUAUCAGGUCUUGUCAAGGUAACAUACUGAAGUGCCUCUACUACACUUCGAUAAUGAGUAACAUCUGCCAUAGGAUCUCCAUCAAAUUUAGACAAGUUCUUCCCAACAGCACCAGGUGUUUUUACCGGUUUGGUAUCAAACAUUUCAGUUCUAUGAAGCAGAUCUGAAAUGUAUUUGGUUUGGCUCAAAUGCAUAGAGCCUUCAUUGUAAGAAACCUCUAUACCGAAAAAGAAUGAGAGUUAACCCAAGUCGCGUAAGGCAAAAACUAAAUCAAGUUUAGCUAUGAGAGAAUAAAUCUAUGUGGAGGAGCUACCUGUUUUGAUUAUAUCAUCAACAUAGACAAGAACUAUCAAAGUAGUGGCCUGACCAAAGUGUAGAAACAUAGAACUAUCAGUCCGAGACAUGUUGAAUCCCCACUGAAGAAGAGCAUAGCUGAGUCUUUGAAACCAAGCUCGUGGGACUUGUUUCAAGCCAUAUAAAGCCUUCUUCAAUCUACACACUCUAUUUGGGAAUUGAGUGUCGAAGUAUCCAGGAGGUUGAGACAUAUAGACUUGUUCUUCUAACUCACCAUUGAGGAAGGCAUUGUGAACAUCAAGCUGCCGAAUUUCCCACUUAAAACUGAGAGCAACAGUAAGUAUGAUGCGAAUAGUGGCAACCUUAACUACUGGACUAAAGGUCUCAAAAUAGUCCAGACUAUGAGUCUGAUUAUAUCCUUUUGCCACAAGCCUAGCUUUAUACCUCUCUCUACUCCCAUCUGGCUUAUGUUUCAGUUUAUACACCCACUUAUAGCCAAUCACAUUGACAUCGGGUGGUUGUUCAACAAGAUCCCAAGUAUGGUUUCGAUGAAGAAUAGCAAUCUCCAUUUCCAUAGCUUUAGUCCAGUUUGGAUCUUUGAAGGCCUGUUUAAGAGUAGAUGGUUCUGAAACCUUUAUGGUAGAGAGAUCAAGAAUGGUCUUUUUCUUGGUUAUACCACGCAUGGACCUUGUUGUCAUUCGUGGAGCAGGAGCAGUGACUUGAGGUUCUGGAACAGAUUCAGCUGGCAAAUCUGUAGUAGGAGAUUAACUAGAUGUGUCCAGAGGUGAAGAAGAGUCUAUAGGAAUAGGACUUUCACUUAUGGAUAGAGAAUGAGAAUCUAUGGAAGCAUGAUUGAUAUUUGAAUCUGGGAGAAGACAUGGAGUAGGAAAAUAAGUAGGAACUAUAAUGGCAGGGGUAGAGCCUUCUGUUGAAGUAUCAUUAGACAAAAUGGAAGACUUGGACUGAGCAAGUGGGAAAGUUGAUUCAUCAAAGACCAUGCGGGGAGUAAUAUAGACUCUUCCAGUUGCAUAAUCAAGACAUAAAAACCCCUUGUGAUUCAAACUAUAGCCAUGAAAAAGACAUUGGACAGAUCUGUACUGCAAUUUAUGAGUGUUGUAUGGCCGAAUGAAAGGAUCACAGAGGCAGCCAAACACACGAAGAGAUUUAUAAUCAGGAUGCCUUCUAAAAAGAGUGAAAGAAGGAGAAUCAUACUUGAGAACUUUGCUUGACAUUUGAUUGAUAAGAAAAGUUGUUGUCUGAAAAGCGUAGUGCCAGUACUUCAUUGGCAAGGAAGCAUGAGAUAACAAAGCUAACCCAGUCUCAACUACGUGUCUGUGCUUCCGCUCAACUCUACCAUUUUGAGCUGAGUUGUAUGGACAGGAGAAUCGAUGGGCAAUACCAACUGCUUGAAGAAAAGACAUAAAAGAUCGAAAUUCUCCACCAUUAUCAGACUGUAAGUACUUAAUUUUCAUGUCAAAUUGAUUCUCCAUUUGAAGCUUGAAUCGCUUAAAGAUGGGAAGGGCCUGAUCCUUUGUUUGUAAUGAAUAAAACCAAGUGUACCUGGAAUAAUCAUCUACAAAAAGAAUGAAAUAUUUCGCUCCAGAUGUAGAUUUAACUAAGGCAGGUCCCCAAAUACCCGUAUAAACAAGUUCUAAAGGUUUAGAUGCACGAAAAUUUGAGAGUUGAGUGGGUAGUCUAUGACUUUUAGCUAACUGACAAUCAAAACAAAUAGUAGAUUUAUAUUUCCCAGAAGCAACAUUACAAGUAUUCAUGACUUUUGAAACAAUGUCAGGAGCAACAUGGCAUAGUCUAUUAUGCCAUAACUCUACUUUAUUUUCAACAGUACUAGAAAAAUGGGAAUGAAAAGCAGAAGCAUUAUUAAUACUACUGCAAGGUUUCUUGUUGCUGAACACAGGAAACUUGUAAAGCCCAUUUUCAAGCUUACCUUGAGCAAGAACCAUCUUCGUAUGUCAAUCCUUCACAAAGAAAGCAUUAGAAUGAAACUCAAUCAAGGCAUUAUUAUCUGAGUAGAACUUAGCCACACUAAUCAAAUUAGUUGAGAUAAAGAGGACAUGAAACACAUUCUUGAGUUGAAAAGAAUGUGUAUGAGAAUGAAGUUGUUUAGAGCCAAUAUUGGAGAUGGAGAGAUGCUUACCAUUACCAAUAGUGACUCUAUCUGUUCAUGUGUAUGGUGAAGUACUGGUUAGAUUUCCCAAAUUCUGAGUCAGAUGGUGACUUGCUCCAGAAUCCAAAUACCAACUCUCAUCUGUAGGACUAUUAAAAGAAGAAGCAACCAUAGCAGGUAUAUUGUUUUGAUUCCCAUUAUUCAAAGAAUGAGAAGUAGUCGUCUGACCACCUUGAAAAGAGAUAUCAAACCUAUGAUAACAUAUCUGAGCAGUGUGGCCAAACUUACCACAUAACUGACAUUGAGGUUUCUCACUUGGACUGGAAUUUUUCCUUCCACCUUGUCCAUUUCUACCUCCACGUCCACAACCUCUGUAGGUGUAAUUAUUGUUAUUUGGAGCAUAGCCUUGUCCACGACCUCCAUUAAACUUCCUUCCACCACCUAUGUUAUUAGAGGAAGAGGCAUAAUUGGCAGACAUUUGUUCAAUAGAGCUUUGUUGCUCAAGAUGAUGCUCAAAGGCUAAUAGCGUACUAUGUAUAGCUUCAAAAGAGAUCUUAUCAUCUCUAAUGUUGAUAGCAGUAACAACGACAUUGUAGUCGGAUCCAAGACCUCUAAGAAGAUUCAUAACCUGAUCUUGUUUUGAGACAGGUUCUCCAAUAGCAACUAGAUUAUCAGCAGCUCCUUUGAUCUUCAUUAUGUAGUCUAUCAUUUACAUUGAUCCUUUCUUUGUGGAUUGUAAUUCGAGUCUGAGUUGCAUUAUCCUAGCUCCUGAAGAAGGUGAAAAAAAUACUUUCCAAGGCAUUCCUAGCAGAGUGAGAAGUAUUAUGGCCUAUGAUCUGUGCCAUGAUACUUGGUGUGAGCAACGAGUACAUCCAGCUGAGGAUUGUUCAAUCUUGUCUCCUCCAAGCAACAAAAGCUGGAUUGAUCACUCCUGGACUCGGAUCUUUCUCCGGACAGAUAGAGGUUCCAUCAAUGAAAUCCUCAAAGCCAUUAGCAAAAACAACAUUAUCAAUAUGAGAUCUCCACAGGAUGUAAUUCGUCCGAUCAAGUUUCACAGGCAGAGUGUGAUUAAGCAUCUGAUAAGAAGGAAUGGAUGCCAUUGUUGAGCUUUUUCCAGAUCCAAUCGAACCAGAGGAAGAAGAAGAUUGUGUUGAAGUAGAGGCCAUGUUUGGAUCGAGAGAAACAGAGAGAAAGUGAGAAAGAGAAGAAAAAUUCACACCUUGAACGUGAGCUCUGAUACCAAGACAGAAAAGAUGAACUAAAACUCUGCUCUCUUUGUUAGAGAAGCAAGAGAGAGAAAUUGAAUAUAUAUAUUGUUCAAAGAACUCUAUUACAAUAGAUGGAGACAGACUGUAAUACCAGCUGGUACAACUAAAUUAAUACAGUUGGUAAAAUAACAUACCAAUAACAAUAAAGCUAACAAAUAACAAGUGGGCUUCAUCUCAUGAGAUCAGUAACUAACUCCGCUUUUCUUGGCUUAUCACAAGAUUUGCUCCAUAACCGAAGAAAAAUUAGUCGUUGUCUAUUCUAGAAUAUUCAAUGCAGCAGAAUUGUAUAGGGAUUGCAACAUCAUAAAAACAAUGUUUGAUCAAUGCUGAGAAGUAAGCAAACUUCAUUUUUUGAUAAUAUUUUACUCCAUACAUACUUGAACUGAAAACCUAACAUGAGGUAUUGUCAAAAUAACAUCGAUCUUAAUCUGGCGAUAAUAAAGAUUAAAAGCAUAUGAGGCAGACAUGCGCUAACAGAUGCAUGAAACUCAUGGGCUGCUAGGUAGAGGUGGUGGUGGUGGUGGUGGAGAUAGUGAAUGUGGUGAUGAUUGCAGUAGCCCAACAUGAGGUGGUGAGGGAGGAGGCACAUAAAAUUGAUGCGGCUUCCCAGGCUGAGGAGGAGGCUUCCACAUGGGACUCCCAACUCGAUCUGGGUAUACCUUCAUUUGCUUCAACAAUCGAUUUGAAGCAGCGGGCACAAAAUCCAUAUCAGAAGCAGCUUCUAAGGGUCGUGCCAUCGCCACGUAGCUCUUACCUGUGUGACUGAUCUGCAACACCACACUAUGAAUUAAUAUAACUAAAAGCAAGAAAAGAGCAUUCAUUGCAGUCACUUUGCUAUGGCAUUAUGCUUGAUCUUAUGUAUAUAUUAUAUAGAUGGAGAGGUCAAUUAGUUGACUCAUUGCUCGAGAAAUAUCAG